AUCGAUUGUUAAGUAGACGUUAAAGCACAAAAUAACCGACGUUAAACAGCAUUUUUGCACUAGUGCGACCUCCUGAACCUGAACGUCAGUUAGGCUUCGUCCUACCAUAGUAACUUGAUCUUCUUCCUUUCCUUAAAGGAAAGGCUGCACCUCCCCUAAUGGUUCCACCCGAUCCUCUGUGUUCGUUUUGGGAUCCAACUCGGCCAUAGCUACCUCCGAUCGAGCCUCAAGCAGUUUAGCAACCAAAGGCUUCAUCUUUAAUCCCGCAGCAUAACAUUCGCGAGCCAUCUUCUGAUCUACUUGAACAACGCAUACCUUUCCAUCCUCAGAUAUGUACUUUAACGUCAAAUGAGGAGUAGAUACAAUAGUCCCAAAAACAUUUAAGCACAGUCAUCCAAGCAAGACAUUGUAUGAGGUAUUGGCCUCCACUAACAAAAGUCUUACUUUAAUUUCCUUAACAUUUUUCUCAGUCCCCAAGCUCAUCUUGAGGUCAACAUAGCCUCUUCUAUCCACUCGUUCCCCCGCAAACCCCAAGAUUUGUUCAUGGAAAGGCAUGAUCAUGUUGUCCGAUAUGUCCAUUUGUUGAAAUGCCUUCCAAUAUAAGAUAUUAGUUGAACUUCCCUGAUCCACAAGAACCUUGCUCAUGUUGUACCGAGCGAUUAUGGUUGUUAUAACCAUGGGAUCAUCCUGGUUAGGAUCGGGAGCAUGAAAAUCUUCAUCUAAAAAAGUAAUUGUUGGCAUGGAUCUACGUAUUAUCUCCGCCCGAUUGACACUAUGCAAAUUUCUCAAAUGACGUUUCCGCGCUGAGGAAGAGGGUCCUCCACCAGCGAAUCCUCUAGAAAUCGUAUUAAUAACACCCCGUAAUGGUCUUUCCCGACUUUUAUUCCUGCUACGUCGAUCGGUCACAACGGAUUCCCUCCUUCCAUCGGGUUAUUCCUUCUAGGUGGACGACCUCUCCCACUCGAAGUACUUUGCCUAUGAUCUUGUACAAAUUUCUGUAAAUGUCCCGUCUGCACUAAGCUUUCCAAAUUAUCCUUUAAAGUAAUACAAUCCUCUGUAGUAUGCCCUAAGUUUUGGUGAUAUCUACAAUGUUUUCACUCAUCAGCACCUCGGGACGUUGGUGACUGAGUCAAAGUCCACAAGUCAGCUCUUAAAGCUUUCUCCAUUACCCUCACCCUGGGGGCGUUCAAAGGCGUAUAAUGAACAUAUUGUGGGACCUUAGGAAGGUCCGCACUUUUCUUCUCAAUUCCCCCCUCUUCUCUUCUGAACGCCCUUCUCUCGUCCCUUAUUCCCCGAUUAGACUUGGCCAUCUGCACAACCUCCUCUCUCUGCCCUCUUUGAAAAUCAUGUCCUUCUUCAACCCGUAUAAAACUCACUGCCCUGUUUUGUAGCUCCACCAAUGUCUGAGGCUCCUCCGCGUAAAGAUAGUCAGUCGACGAACGGUCCUGGUCUCAAAGUAGUCGUCAAGGCGUUUAUUAUCAAUCUAUGAUCAACGUUCCUCACUUGUCACACAGUCUGAUGAAACCGAUCCAUAAACAUCUUAAUGGUCUCCCCUCUCCCCUACUUCAUUCUUACCAAAGUCGUAUACGUCAAACCCUGUGUUCUAUUAGAUGCAUAUUGUUUGCUAAACAACUGUCUCAACGUAGCGAAUCCAUCGACUGUCCUAGGCUGUAGUGAAUGAAACCAGUCUAAUGCCUCAUCUUUCAGUGACAAAGAAAAAACUAUGCACCAAACCAGCUCAUCGGAAUAAUACACUGCUAUAGCAUCCACAAAGGAUCGAAGAUGUUUUACGGGAUCCGUUAAACCUCCAUAUCUUUCCAUCACCGAAAGCACUUUAUUCUCCGGCAUAGGUGCCCUCGUGACAGUCGCAGUGAACGGAUGAAGCCCCUCCGCCUGAUAGGGGUGCUCAAUAAGUACUAAAUGGUUCACCCGACCUCAAUCAUUGUUUAGGUUCCGAUUCUGAUUUUUCGCAUUAUGAUCGGCUUGAUUCUCGGCAUCAUGUCCGACCAGAUUCUCCACAUUUUCCCCACCCUGUGCACUACGCCUUGAUGCAUUAAUUACCCCC
rnacentral:lncRNA from 1 species